rnacentral:rRNA from 1 species
ACUUAAAUUGAAGAGUUUGAUCAUGGCUCAGAUUGAACGCUGGCGGCAGGCCUAACACAUGCAAGUCGAGCGGUAGCACAGAGAGCUUGCUCUCGGGUGACGAGCGGCGGACGGGUGAGUAAUGUCUGGGAAACUGCCUGAUGGAGGGGGAUAACUACUGGAAACGGUAGCUAAUACCGCAUAACGUCGCAAGACCAAAGUGGGGGACCUUCGGGCCUCAUGCCAUCAGAUGUGCCCAGAUGGGAUUAGCUAGUAGGUGGGGUAACGGCUCACCUAGGCGACGAUCCCUAGCUGGUCUGAGAGGAUGACCAGCCACACUGGAACUGAGACACGGUCCAGACUCCUACG